UUGGACCAGUAGUCUACUCUUAGAU
rnacentral:piRNA from 1 species